AGAGAGCGGAAGCCGGGAAUGGGAUCCCGGUGCAAGCGAGGUACCAGCCGCAUUGGAAAAACCGUGCGGCAAUGGGAAGACGUGAUGCGGAGUGAAGUUUAGUAAUGAAGUCCGUGAGCUGUGCGUCAAGAAAAGCCGCUAUUGUUCAUACCAUACCCGUACCGUAAACCGACACAGGUGGAUGAGGAGAGAAUCCUAAGGCCGGCGGAAGAAGCAUUGUCAAGGAACUCGGCAAAAUGACCCCGUAACUUCGGGAGAAGGGGUGCCUGCGAGAGCAGGCCGCAGAGAAUAGGCUCAAGCAACUGUUUAGCAAAAACACAGGUCUAUGCGAAACCGAAAGGUGAGGUAUAUGGGCUGACGCCUGCCCGGUGCUGGAAGGUUAAGAGGAGAGGUUAGCGCAAGCGAAGCUUUGAAUUUAAGCCCCAGUAAACGGCGGCCGUAACUAUAACGGUCCUAAGGUAGCGAAAUUCCUUGUCGGGUAAGUUCCGACCCGCACGAAAGGCGUAAUGAUUUGAGCGCUGUCUCGACAAUGCAUCCGGUGAAAUUGAAGUACCAGUGAAGAUGCUGGUUACCUGCGCCAGGACGGAAAGACCCCAUGGAGCUUUACUCCAGUUUGGUACUGGGAUCCGGUACUGCAUGUACAGGAUAGGUGGGAGGCUAUGAAUCGGUAACGCCAGUUGCCGAGGAGCCGCUGUUGGGAUACCACCCUUGCAGUAUUGGGUUUCUAACCAGCCGCCGUGACCCGGCGGUGGGACAAUGCCAGACGGGGAGUUUGACUGGGGCGGUCGCCUCCGAAAGGGUAUCGGAGGCGCCCAAAGGUUCCCUCAGGAUGGACGGAAACCAUCCAAAGAGUGCAAAGGCAGAAGGGAGCUUGACUGCGACACCGACGGGUGGAGCAGGUACGAAAGUAGGGCUUAGUGAUCCGGUGGUAUUAAGUGGGAAUGCCAUCGCUCAACGGAUAAAAGCUACCCUGGGAUAACAGGCUUAUCACUCCCAAGAGUUCACAUCGACGGAGUGGUUUGGCACCUCGAUGUCGGCUCAUCGCAUCCUGGGGCUGUAGUAGGUCCCAAGGGUUGGGCUGUUCGCCCAUUAAAGCGGUACGCGAGCUGGGUUCAGAACGUCGUGAGACAGUUCGGUCCCUAUCCGGCGUGGGCGUAGGAUAUCUGAGAGGAGCUGUCCUUAGUACGAGAGGACCGGGAUGGACGGGCCGCUGGUGCACCGGUUAGACUGCCAAGUCUAUAGCCGGGUAGCCAAGCCCGGAAGGGAUAAACGCUGAAGGCAUCUAAGCGUGAAGCCCCCCUCAAGAUGAGAUAUCCCAUCCGAAAGGAGUAAACCCCCUUGAAGACGACGAGGUCGAUAGGGCAGAGGUGGAAGUGUGGUAACACAUGGAGCUGACUGCUACUAAUAGGGUGAGGGCUUGACCGA
rnacentral:rRNA from 1 species